rnacentral:lncRNA from 1 species
GUGGCUGAAGGGGUGGGGGUCUGGGACUCUGCAGUCUUCUCUGAUUCUUUCUCUGUGGAAUAGUGGGAUGAUUCUUCUGAUUUUCCACUGUCCUUGGCUUUGGCUUCCUCUAGCAGAAUUGUCAUGGCUUUCAUAGCUGCAUCCUGCUUGGCCACUUUCUUGCUUCCAGCUUCAGCUGGGGGAAACUCUCGGCCAUUGAUGACAACCUGGAAU